rnacentral:piRNA from 1 species
UGACUCUAACUAUUGAGGUAUCAGGGAA